rnacentral:lncRNA from 1 species
GCUUCAUUCGGGCUGACAGCGGCAUUUAUGAGAGCAAAUGUCUGUCCCUGCGCAAUUUCUGUGGGGAUAGUUGCAGUCAGGUCUACAGGAUUUGCUUAAAAAUUUCCAAGACCUGGGUGUGUCUGACAGCCUGGACCUCAACCUCAAAAAGGAACUAGCUCCUCUCUGAUUUCCUUGGGACACCUGGGAGCAAGCACAGGAGCCCAUGGAGCCACGGAGAGUGUCACUUCAAGCGCCUCCUGGGAGCUCUUGCAGAUGCCAAGUGCUCUGCCCUUCCCCAUUACCUGUGAUUUCAAGUGGGCUUAGAGAUUCUCCAAGAUGUGAGAUGAAAGGCCAAGAAACUAAUUCCUCUGACUUCUUCAGAGAACCGCACAGUCUCUUGAGGUUCUGCUGGGAGGAAAAUGAGAGCCUGUGGAAGUGAGCCAAAGAAUCUUCUGCCUGGGGAACAUUCACUGAUGCUUCAAGUGCUGGAAGAUCUGUGACUCCCAAAU